rnacentral:rRNA from 1 species
GCCAGACUCCUACGGGAGGCAGCAGUGGGGGAUAUUGCACAAUGGGGGGAACCCUGAUGCAGCGACGCCGCGUGGGUGAAGGAGUGCUUCGGCAUGUAAAGCCCUAUCGGCAGGGAAGAAGCAAGACGGUACCUGACUAAGAAGCCCCGGCUAACUACGUGCCAGCAGCCGCGGUAAUACGUAUGGGGCAAGCGUUAUCCGGAUUUACUGGGUGUAAAGGGAGCGCAGGCGGCACGGCAAGCCUGAUGUGAAAGCCCGGGGCCCAACCCCGGGACUGCUCUUGGAACUGCGUGGCUGGAGUGCAGGAGGGGCAGGCGGAAUUCCUGGUGUAGCGGUGAAAUGCGUAGAUAUCAGGAGGAACACCGGUGGCGAAGGCGGCCUGCUGGACUGCAACUGACGUUGAGGCCCGAAAGCGUGGGGAGCAAACAGGAUUAGAUACCCCCGUAC